GCUCGCCCUCCGUGCCUCCGGGGGCCCGCCGCAGGAGCCAAAUGCUGUGGGAGAUGAUCAAUGUAGGCCAGACCCAGAGAGAUUCUACGCACCACUGACUGCAAACACCUCCCUGGAGCAGCUCAGAUACAGUGCGCUGCAAGAGGUGAAGACGGCUAAUUAUGAACCACACAGCCUAUGAAGACUACACAGCCCACUGACUGGCCAAGAUAUGGGCUACGGUUUUUCACACAGACAUUAUAUGAAGAAAGUGUUACAAAAAUCAGCCAUGGAUUCACCAUGUGUAGUGAUGGCCUCCAACACCUCCCUCCAUCAACCUGUGCUGCAGUUCUGGAAGCUCAUUCAUUAGUGCCGUGUCAUGGGUCCUCCUUAGUUCCUCAACUCAGGGUGCUGGUUGGAGGGCGCCAGGAGCUGCAAAAAGCAAACAUAUGCCAGAGUCCUGCCUAUGUAAUAUGGGACCUGGUACUGGAUGGGAGGGCAAAUUUUUUCCUUUUAGACUGUGUAUCCUUCUGAGGGAAAUGACAAAAGAGUUUGUUGCAAAAGUUUGUGAAGAUUUUCUACAGAGCUAUUUGGGUGGGUCAUUGAUAAGACUUAGGGAUUGUGAAUUGGCACAAAAAAUCUCAGUGAAACAGUACAGAAAUUAAAUUUUUUUGUGAGUAAUUAUAAUUUGUCAUGAAGAAAAAAAAGCCCAUCUUGCGCAACGGCAAUUUUACAGGAUUGAUUCCUCUGACACAUGCAGCAGGCAGCAAGGAAGGUGUCAGCUUGGGGGAAAUGUGCAUGGAGUUAUCAGCAGGGCAUGUAUGGGAAGUCAAAAUCUAAACAUUCAAGUGAACUCUUCAGCAGAACAGUAGACAGUAUUGCAGCUGAUGGCGAUAAAAGUGUUUACCAGACAGAAAAGCAGUAUGUGCUUCUUCAGGUUGGACAGUGAUGCACAGACCAAGUUAGUACAGGAAUCUAAAUUAUUCACAGUAACGGAAAAGCCAAAGAAAGAGGAUAAAAGUCUAUUACUGGGUAAAAGUAUGUCAAUUCUACUGCUUCCUCAGGAAAACAUCAUCACUGAAGAUGCAAAGGACAAAAAUGGUUUAAGAAAAAUCUCAAGGUAUUUUCCAUAGCAUAGUGACAAAUUGCACCUUUUCCAGUUUGUUAGUUAUUACAUAUAUCUCCAGUAAGGAAAGGCUCAGUGGUACAUAUUUUUAUUUCUCCAUUUACCCUAAGAUGAAAGUCAGUGGAAACGUAUAUCUGGCUUUUAGUAUAAGGUGGCUGGUGGUGCAUAUUCCCAGCACCUGUUGCCAGUAUAAAGGAGAAAUUUAUCUGGGAUUUUGUUUAAAGGUAAUAGAAAGAUGUUUUCUACUGUAUUGAAUAAAAUUACUGAGAAGAACAUAGGAAGGCUAGUUAGGCAUGGAUGAAUCUUGGAGAAGGACUGAAGAUGUCCGACACUGCCUGAAAAUGAAAAGUGACAUUGGGGAAUAUCUAAGACUCAUCACAUGUCAAAAUCAAAUUAAAUCAAGCAAAAGCCCAGAAAGCAACAAUUCCUCAAAAGCAAAGUAGGCAUCGGUUUAUGUAGUCUGGAAGCUAUGUAGUUUGGAAAAAAGCUAUAUACCCUAUGCUAUUUUUCUUUCUUCUCUGAGCUAGUCCAAAGAGAAGAUGUUACAGAUGAGUGUAUGUGUCAAAAGCACUGAAUUAGUUGUGAUGCAGCUGACAUAACUAUAACUGACAGCAACAUUAUUUAGUUUAAGUAGUCUGCAGUUAAGUAUAGACUUAGACAUAAUCUUGCCAAUGGAACAGUUCCCACCCUAAUACUUUGGUAGGAAAUGUUGCCAGAUUAAUACAGAGCUUACUGAAAAGCACCCAGAGUCAGAGCCUGAUCCGUAUUUAUGACAACCAAGUUCCAGAGCAACACCAGUGAUGCAUGGAGCUGUCACCUGAGGACAUUUUUUCCUACAGAAAACUGAAAUCAAGACUAGAUACAUUAUUAGACACUGGAGACUUGUAAAAAUGGAGGGUGACAUAGCAAAGCAAACUCCUCUGUUAAACUCUGUUCUCAAAACCAUCUCCUCCAAGAACAAAGGUGAGAGCUGGUCCUGUACUUCAUGGGGAAUUUGAGCUUCCUGGCAAUUGCAGAUGUGUGGGUUUUUCUGUAACUGCUAUAUAGGAAAUCCCUUCGUUUGCUUCCAUACAUUCUCUCCAUACCCUCCCCACAGCAUCAGCAUUCACUGGUUGUCAUCCCUGACCAGAUCCACUCUGUUGACUUGUAUUACAGCACUGCUCUUUGGUAUGCAUGAAAGACAAUGAUUUUAUUUUAUAUUACUCAAACAGGGUCCGUCACACAUUUAAUGCAAACCUGUAGUGUACACUGCUUCAGGGCCCUUUCAGGUAUUGCAUUUAUGCAAAACUGUGUAUUUGGAAUAUGAAACUUGUUAUGUAUUCAGAGUGUUUGAUUUAAAUACAGAAGGUUUUGUUAUUUUUCAAGUAGAAUUUCAGAGGGGUUUUUAAUUGUUAAAUAAAUAAACAGCUAA